rnacentral:rRNA from 1 species
UACGUAGGGUGCAAGCGUUAAUCGGAAUUACUGGGCGUAAAGCGUGCGCAGGCGGCUUUGCAAGACAGAUGUGAAAUCCCCGGGCUCAACCUGGGAACUGCAUUUGUGACUGCAUGGCUGGAGUGCGGCAGAGGGGGAUGGAAUUCCGCGUGUAGCAGUGAAAUGCGUAGAUAUGCGGAGGAACACCGAUGGCGAAGGCAAUCCCCUGGGCCUGCACUGACGCUCAUGCACGAAAGCGUGGGGAGCAAGCAGG